UACGGAGGUGCGAGCGUUGUCCGGAAUCACUGGGCGUAAAGGGCGCGUAGGUGGCGCGGGCAGUCAACGGUGAAGUUCGGGCUCAACCCUGAUCGGCCGUCGAUACUCCCGGGCUUGAGCACUGUAGAGGCAGAUGGAAUUCCGGUGGUAGCGGUGGAAUGCGUAGAGAUCCGGAAGAACACCAGUGGCGAAGGCGGCCCGCUGGGCAGUGGCUGACGCUGAGGCGGCGACAGCGUGG
rnacentral:rRNA from 1 species